rnacentral:rRNA from 1 species
AUUGAACGCUGGCGGCAGGCCUAACACAUGCAAGUCGAGCGAGCGGCGGACGGGUGAGUAAUGUCUGGGAAACUGCCUGAUGGAGGGGGAUAACUACUGGAAACGGUAGCUAAUACCGCAUACCAUCAGAUGUGCCCAGAGGGGAUUAGCUAGUGGGUGGGGUAACGGCUCACCUAGGCGACGAUCCCUAGCUGGUCUGAGAGGAUGACCGGCAAAACUGGAACUGAGACACGGUCCAGACUCCUACGAGAGGCAGAAGUGGGGAAUCUUGCACAAUGGGCGCAAGCCUGAGACAGCCAUGCCGCGUGUAGGAAGAAGGCCUGCGGGUUGUAAAGUACUUUCAGCGGGGAGGCGUUACCCGCAGAAGAAGCACCGGCUAACUCCGUGCCAGCAGCCGCGGUAAUUC